CUCAGCACUUCCGUCCUCUCUCAAGCCCGGUUUUCCAACAAUCCUGGGGGGUUCUGCUCCUAACAUCUGUCAGCCAAUGAGAGUCUGCAUAAGGACCGAAUCGGCCCCAGCGGACGCCCAUUGGUGCCUGCCGUCUGCAUAGCAGCCUGGGUUCUGUGCGCCGGUUUGAAUACCCUAGGUCCAGCUAGGAGAGGGUGCACUAGCCUGCACUGCUGUGGCCUUUAGGGUACUCGGGAUCGCCCCAAGCGCUUUUUCCUAGACAAGCAUCUGGCAGCCCUGGCAAGCCUGCUCUCUCCAGGGUCACAGGCCAGAGCAAGUUCCAAUGGGCCCCGCGGGGGUCGCGGCGAGGGCCGGGCGCUUCUUCGGCGUCUACCUGCUCUACUGCCUGAACCCUCGACACCGAGGUCGCGUCUACGUGGGGUUCACAGUCAACCCUGCUCGUCGGGAGCAGCAGCACAACGCGGGCCGUAAAAAAGGCGGGGCCUGGCGGACCAGUGGCCGCGGGCCUUGGGAGAUGGUGCUCAUAGUACACGGCUUCCCCUCCGCGGUGGCCGCCCUUCGGUUCGAAUGGGCCUGGCAGCACCCGAAGGCCUCGCGCCGCUUGGCCCAUUUGGGUCCGCGCCUGCGCGGCGAGGCAGCCUUCGCCUUCCACCUGCGCGUGCUGGCACACAUGCUGCGCGUGCCCCCGUGGGCGCGCCUCCCGCUCACCCUGCGCUGGCUGCGCACCGACUUCCGCCAGGAUCUCUGCCCGCCACCGCCACCGCACGUGCCCCUGGCCUUCGGGCCUCCGCCGCCCCGGGCCCUGGCCCGGAAGUGCGGCGCAGUUCCCUUGGCCAGCAUGGAGUCCGAGUCCCAGCCGCAGCACGCCGCGGAGGCUCUGUGCACCGUGUGCGCUUGCGCACUCCAGGAUGAAGAGGGUCCCCUGUGUUGCCCCCACCCUGGCUGCUCCCUCAGGGCGCAUGUGAUCUGCCUGGCAGAAGAGUUCCUGCAGGAGGAGCCAGGGCAGCUUCUGCCGCUGGAGGGCCAAUGCCCUGGGUCCUGGCCUGGAGGAGGCUUGUGAUCCUGACUGUCUCAUACCAACCACACCUCUUGGUAGCUGUAAGAACUCAGUGCUGUGGGGAGACCUGGUCUGGCUGAGCCAGAUGGGCACCGAGGAGGAAGAGGACUUGGAAUUAGAAGAGGAACACUGGACUGACAUGCUGGAGACCUGAUCCUCAGCGUCCCCAACUUCCGCCCACCCUUUACCCAUUUCCCCCCCCACCGUGGCUCUGGGAAGUUUUUACUAGAGUACAAUAAAAAGUCUGAGUUAAGAGUA